rnacentral:rRNA from 1 species
UCCCUACGGGGGGCAGCAGUGGGGGAUAUUGGACAAUGGGGGGAACCCUGAUCCAGCGACGCCGCGUGGGUGAAGGAGCGUUUCGGCGCGUAAAGCCCUAUCGGCAGGGAAGAAGGAGGACGGUACCUGACUAAGAAGCCCCGGCUAACUACGUGCCAGCAGCCGCGGUAAUACGUAGGGGGCAAGCGUUAUCCGGAAUUACUGGGUGUAAAGGGAGCGUAGACGGCAAUGCAAGUCCGGAGUGGAAUGCGGCAGCUCAACUGCCGAACUGCUCUGGAAACUGUAUGGCUUGAGUGCAGGGGGGG